rnacentral:lncRNA from 1 species
UGUCUGAACAACAUAAGCAUUUUUGGAUGGUCGACCAUGUAAAGAAUAGCACACGUCACGAGUGUGACCAAGUUUAUGACCGAUAAGAAUGGACCUUGGGUUAGGCCCAAUGUCCAUUCUUAUCAUUAGGCCCAAUGUCCAUUCUUAACAAGGUAUCAGAACUUUGGUGAGAUAUUUAUCGUUGUGCGUCAUUCCAACGACAUCCGGGAAGAAAUAACUCAGUCACCGUGUAAUUUUCCGGUGACCGAAGUGACUAAUUGCGUCAAAGUCACUAAUUAUCAGUGUUGUGCAAAAACCAACACCACCACAAGGUUCCCAAGAGAGAUCCGACAAGUCACUAAUUAUCAGUGUUGUGCAAAAACUAACACCACCACAAGGCUCCCAAGAGAGAUCCGACCAAACCCCAGCAAACCCCACCGGAAAAAUGCCCUUCACGCGCCCUCACGCGCCAGAUUUAUCAAGGUAAAUCCGACUCACGCGCCCCACGCGCCGGCGCGUGAGCACUGUUCCGGUGAGAUUUUGACGAAGGUCCUUCAGGGCAGUUGGAUCGCCCUCAAAUUCCGAGCCUACCCAUAUUUUUAUUUUUUAAUUCCGACAACCUUGAAUUUUCUCCGGUAGCUACAGUAUUUUUUCCGGCAGGUACAGUGUUUUCAGUUUCAGUUUUCCAGCAGCUACAGUAUUUCCAGUUUUCAGUUGAUUCUUUCUGAUUAUUUUGUGAUAAUCCAACGAUGUCUUUGGGACUCGAUGUUUUAGGGUCUAGAAACCCGGGUUCGAUGUUAACUACAUAUGUAACAAGCUCGGUACAUAUGAUUUAUAUGCACCAGCUUGAG